AUGAACGCUAGCUACAGGCUUAACACAUGCAAGUCGAGGGGAAACGACAUCGAAAGCUUGCUUUUGAUGGGCGUCGACCGGCGCACGGGUAAGUAACGCGUAUCCAACCUGCCCACCACUUGGGGAUAACCUUGCGAAAGUAAGACUAAUACCCAAUGAUAUCCCACGAAGACAUCUGAAUGGGAUUAAAGAUUUAUCGGUGAUGGAUGGGGAUGCGUCUGAUUAGCUUGUUGGCGGGGUAACGGCCCACCAAGGCAACGAUCAGUAGGGGUUCUGAGAGGAAGGUCCCCCACAUUGGAACUGAGACACGGUCCAAACUCCUACGGGAGGCAGCAGUGAGGAAUAUUGGUCAAUGGGCGAGAGCCUGAACCAGCCAAGUAGCGUGCAGGAAGACGGCCCUAUGGGUUGUAAACUGCUUUUAUAAGGGAAUAAAGUGGGUCACGUGUGACUUUUUGCGUGUACCUUAUGAAUAAGGACCGGCUAAUUCCGUG
rnacentral:rRNA from 1 species